AGGAUUAGAUACCNUGGUAGUCCACCCCGUAAACGUUGGGAACUAGUUGUGGGGACCAUUCCACGGUUUCCGUGACGCAGCUAACGCAUUAAGUUCCCCGCCUGGGGAGUACGGCCGCAAGGCUAAAACUCAAAGGAAUUGACGGGGACCCGCACAAGCGGCGGAGCAUGCGGAUUAAUUCGAUGCAACGCGAAGAACCUUACCAAGGCUUGACAUAUACGAGAACGGGCCAGAAAUGGUCAACUCUUUGGACACUCGUAAACAGGUGGUGCAUGGUUGUCGUCAGCUCGUGUCGUGAGAUGUUGGGUUAAGUCCCGCAACGAGCGCAACCCUCGUUCUAUGUUGCCAGCACGUAAUGGUGGGAACUCAUGGGAUACUGCCGGGGUCAACUCGGAGGAAGGUGGGGAUGACGUCAAAUCAUCAUGCCCCUUAUGUCUUGGGCUUCACGCAUGCUACAAUGGCCGGUACAAAGGGCUGCAAUACCGUAAGGUGGAGCGAAUCCCAAAAAGCCGGUCCCAGUUCGGAUUGAGGUCUGCAACUCGACCUCAUGAAGUCGGAGUCGCUAGUAAUCGCAGAUCAGCAACGCUGCGGUGAAUACGUUCCCGGGUCUUGUACACACCGCCCGUCAAGUCAUGAAAGUCGGUAACACCUGAAGCCGGUGGCCCAACCCUUGUGGAGGGAGCCGUCGAAGGUGGGAUCGGUAAUUAGGACUAAGUCGUAACAAGGUA
rnacentral:rRNA from 1 species